CCUUUUAUUGGUUCAAAUUUCUCUCAGCAAGUAGCAUAUCUUCUGAGAAAAGUUGUACAGGUGCUUGAGCGGAGAAUUUUAACUCAUGCUGGAAACCUGAGACAUCACAGCAGUCUUUUGAGAGCUCGGGAGGAGAAAUUUCUGUCAAGAAUAAAAGUCCUUGAAACCCUUGCAACAGGAACCACUGAAGAAAAUGAGGUUGUUUUGAAUCAGCUUCAACGUAUGAAGGUAAAGUGCUCAACCCAUUUCUAAUCUAAGAAAAUUAUCAAGUAUAU